AACUGCGUGAGCCAAUCAGCGCUCAGAAGCUGAACGGUUUUCUUGUCGCCUAGCGUUCGACUGAAACAGUUGGCGAUUGAUUCCCAAAGAAACGACGUUUACUUCGUAAAAACUCCCGAGAAAUACUUCUUACAUACUUGAAAUUAUCAAAGAUGACGGCUGUAGCGCAAAAGUGUGGCCCUAAAUCUGUCUCAAGACCAAAACACUGGAGUGAGGAAGUGGAAGAAGGUAAGAAACAUAUAGAUUUCAAUGUGCCGGCUACAGAGAUGCUAUAGAAUACUCAGACAUCAAACAGAAGGAACCAGAGAGAUGGCCUCACAAUGGUUAUGUCAA